rnacentral:rRNA from 1 species
GACGAACGCUGGCGGCGUGCCUAAUACAUGCAAGUAGAACGCUGAAGCGAGGCGCUUGCUCUUCUUUGAUGAGUUGCGAACGGGUGAGUAACGCGUAGGUAACCUGCCUUGUAGCGGGGGAUAACUAUUGGAAACGAUAGCUAAUACCGCAUAACAAUGGAUGACACAUGUCGUUUAUUUGAAAGGGGCAAUUGCUCCACUACAAGAUGGACCUGCGUUGUAUUAGGUAGUAGGUGAGGUAACGGCUCACCUAGGCGACGCUACAUAGCCGACAUGAGCGGAUGAGCGGCCACACUGAGAGUGAGACACGGCACAGACGGAUACAGGAGGCAGCAGUAGGGAAUCGGCGGGAAUGGGGGCAAACCAGAGCGAGAAACGCCGAGUGAGUGAGGAAGGUUGUCGGAUGGUAGAGCACUGUUGUAAGGCAAGAACGAGUGUGAGAGUGGAAAGAACAGACAGUGACGGUAACUGACCAGAAAGGAACGGCUAACUACGUG